AUGACGGUCUCAGGCACUCUGACUAGAAGAAGAGAGGAAAGAACACUGACGAGAAGGGAGGGUGGGGAAGGGAAGCAGAGCACACAUAGCUUUGGUCCCUUCUUCCCCUGGGCUGUGACCUUGGCAGUGCGGAAGAAUCCUAUGUAUGCAGGCUGCCUGCAAAUGCAUUUCAAAGAGAAACUAGAAGAGGUUAUAUCCAGUUUUGCUGGCCAAACACCAGUUUAAAAAUAGGCAAAGGAAUUGAAUAGACAUUUCACCAAAGAAGAUAUACGAAUGAAUAAGCAUAUGAAAACAUGCUCAAGACCACUCGUCAUGAGGUAAAUGUAACUUAAAACCACAAAAUAGGAUAUCACAUCCACUAGCAUGGCCAUGAUAAAAAGACAGACCAGAGUAAAUAUUUCCAAGAAUGUGGACAAACUGGAACCCUCA
rnacentral:lncRNA from 1 species